GGUUAGAUGGCCGAGCGGUCUAAGGCGCCAGACUAAGGAUCAGGACUGUAUCAGUCCACCAGGCAGGGGUUCGCACCUCGGCAAUCUGGUCCGAAAGGGCGUGGGUUCGAAUCCCACUCUAAUCA